rnacentral:rRNA from 1 species
GGCUCAGGACGAACGCUGGCGGCGUGCCUAAUACAUGCAAGUCGAGCGGACGAAUUUAUUGGUGCUUGCACCUUUAAUUUUCGUUAGCGGCGGACGGGUGAGUAACACGUGGGUAACCUACCUUAUAGAUUGGGAUAACUCCGGGAAACCGGGGCUAAUACCGAAUAACACUUUUAAACACAUGUUUGGAAGUUGAAAGACGGUUUUGCUGUCACUAUAAGAUGGACCCGCGGCGCAUUAGCUAGUUGGUGAGGUAAUGGCUCACCAAGGCCACGAUGCGUAGCCGACCUGAGAGGGUGAUCGGCCACACUGGGACUGAGACACGGCCCAGACUCCUACGGGAGGCAGCAGUAGGGAAUCUUCCACAAUGGACGAAAGUCUGAUGGAGCAACGCCGCGUGAGUGAAGAAGGAUCUCGGUUCGUAAACUCUGUUGCAAGGGAAG